UACGUAGGGACCAAGCGUUGUUCGGAUUUACUGGGCGUAAAGCGUGCGCAGGCGGUUUUGUAAGCCAGAUGUGAAAGCCCCGGGCUUAACCUGGGAAUGGCAUUUGGGACUGCAAGGCUGGAGUGCGGCAGAGGAGACUGGAAUUCCUGGUGUAGCAGUGAAAUGCGUAGAUAUCAGGAGGAAUACCGAUGGCGAAGGCAGGUCUCUGGGCUGACACUGACGCUCAUGCACGAAAGCGUGGGGAGCAAACAGG
rnacentral:rRNA from 1 species